GUUCGGAUUCAUUGGGCGUAAAGGGUGCGUAGGUGGCGCUGUAAGUAAGGUGUGAAAUUUCGGAGCUUAACUCCGAAACUGCAUUUGAUACUGCGGUGCUUGAGGACUGGAGAGGAGACUGGAAUUUACGGUGUAGCAGUGAAAUGCGUAGAGAUCGUAAGGAAGACCAGUGGCGAAGGCGGGUCUCUGGACAGUUCCUGACACUGAGGCACGAAGGCCAGGGGAGCAAACGGG
rnacentral:rRNA from 1 species